GCAGACACAUUCCAGCCAAUCAGCAGCAGACCCUCCCUCCCAAACCCUCCCUCCCAGACCCUCCCACCUCCUGGACAGCAUCCAUUUUACAUUCAUUGUGAAGCUGCAUUCUUAGUGAGCUGUCCAGGAGGUGGGAGGGUCUGGGAGGGAGGGUCUGCUUCUGAUUGGCUGGAAUGUGUCUG